UAGGAGGUGGUGUAGCGGAAGCACUAGGAGUUUUGAUCUCUUGAGCAUGGGUUCGAUUCCCUUUCUCCUAA
rnacentral:tRNA from 2 species